rfam:Myotis lucifugus cont2.2367, whole genome shotgun sequence.
UGCAGUUCUCGAGUGAAGCACCCCAGAAUCGGGCUCCCUCCUCUCUGGUUCCUGGUGUGUCACCCAAGAACCACA